rnacentral:rRNA from 1 species
UACGGGGGGAGCAAGCGUUGUUCGGAUUUACUGAGCGUAAAGGGCGCGUAGGCGGCCAGCGCAAGUCAGUUGUGAAAUCUCCGGGCUUAACUCGGAACGGUCAACUGAUACUGCGCGGCUAGAGUGCAGAAGGGGCAACUGGAAUUCCCGGUGUAGCGGUGGAAUGCGUAGAGAUCGGGAAGAACAUCGGUGGCGAAGGCGGUCUGCUGGGCCGUUGCUGACGCUGAGGCGCGACAGCGUGGGGAGCAAACAGG